CCCUUAGAUGUUCUGGGCAGCACGCGCGCUACAAUGGUCUUCGCAAACGGAUGCAUUCUCGAAGGAGAAUGCCAAUCUUGGAAUCUAUGCCUUGGUCGGGACAGUUGCUUGCAAUUUUUCGACUCGAACCAGGAAUUCCUUGUAAUCGUGAUUCAUCACAUCACGAUGAAUACGUCCCUGCCCUUUGUACACACCGCCCGUCGCUCCUACCGAUUGAAUGGUCCGGUGAAGCGUUUGGACUAUGGUUUUCUGACGGUUCGCCAUUGGAUUACCGUGGGAAAUUCGUUAAACCUUAUCAUUUAGAGGAAGGAGAAGUCGUAACA
rnacentral:rRNA from 1 species